UUUAGGAGCACCAUUGCUUCUCUAAAGGCUGGGGGCAGAGGUGAUGCCCAUUUCUUAUCCAACUUUCAUUUCAUUUAUAGCUGUAAUUCUGGUGUCACGCAGAUAACAGUUUUUCUCCUGGAAGCCAUAAUAGGAGCAGGGCUGCAUGCUUGUCUGCUCCCUGCAGUAACAGAGCCGUGUGGAAAGCCAAGGUUUAAUGCAGCACUGUACUGGGGAGGAGUCAAUAGAUGGAGACAUCCAUGUGAAAUUUCAUCUUGAGCCAUGAAAAGAAAACUGAAGAUGCCUUAGAGGACUGGGCCCUAGUAUGGAGCACUUCUUCUUUAAAGAAAAAACUUUAAAAGGGGAGAAUUUCACUUUUAAAAUUAAUCACCAUGGCAACCCUUACAGUGAAUUUCCAAACAUAGAAAGUUGCCUUUAAGAAGCAUGGUUCUCUAAAAGAAAGGUGAGUUUUUACAGCUUCUGACAAUGCUCCCAGAGAAUAUAAGAUUUUACAGAAAUCAGUUAGAGAGUUUUACAGAAAGAAAGGAAAAGUUAUAUGGUUGUGGUGGUUGUCUUUUUUUAUUAUUAUUUAAAGAGUCUGCAUGCUAACUAAUUUCAUCAUAAUGCUGGCUUAAAAUAGACUUGGAGAACUAGAUAGAGCCUAGCAGAAAUACUUGUGAUAUUGCUAAAUAUCAUCUAGGUGAAUUUAUAGUUAACUAUUUGCCAAUGAUUCUUUCAUAUAUAUAAUAAUAUUUUUCCUAGUUUUGGACUGUUUUUUAUGCAUAUCCAGAAUCCUACUAGUAAAUACUAAAUACUGUUUUUAAAAUUUAAAAAAAAAAAAUUAAAAAAUUAAAAAGAUAAUAAUAAAAAGAAUGUGAAGUAAUAGAAUAAGGGGGGG
rnacentral:lncRNA from 1 species